UUGCCCAUCUAGGACUUUUGACGUGUCCUAUAUGACCAACACAGAGGGGUAGAGUAUUUAUAGUUCUCUCAUAAACCUGUAGUGAAGGCUCAAAUCCUUACUGCGGAUCCUGUCGGGAGAUACAAAA